CGUUCUGGAGACACCCGCGAGCUGUGCGGGGGCCGAAGGUGCAAGGCGAAAACGCCAAUCUCUCAGGCAAAAGGACAGAAAUGGA
rnacentral:ncRNA from 1 species